GAUUGAACGCUGGCGGCAGGCUUAACACAUGCAAGUCGAGCGGGGAAGGGUAGCUUGCUACCUAACCUAGCGGCGGACGGGUGAGUAAUGCUUAGGAAUCUGCCAUUUAGUGGGGGACAACAUUCCGAAAGGAAUGCUAAUACCGCAUACGUCCUACGGGAGAAAGCAGGGGAUCUUCGGACCUUGCGCUAAAUGAUGAGCCUAAGUCGGAUUAGCUAGUUGGUGGGGUAAAGGCCUACCAAGGCGACGAUCUGUAGCGGGUCUGAGAGGAUGAUCCGCCACACUGGGACUGAGACACGGCCCAGACUCCUACGGGAGGCAGCAGUGGGGAAUAUUGGACAAUGGGCGGAAGCCUGAUCCAGCCAUGCCGCGUGUGUGAAGAAGGCCUUUUGGUUGUAAAGCACUUUAAGCGAGGAGGAGGCUACUUAGAUUAAUACUCUAGGAUAGUGGACGUUACUCGCAGAAUAAGCACCGGCUAACUCUGUGCCAGCAGCCGCGGUAAUACAGAGGGUGCGAGCGUUAAUCGGAUUUACUGGGCGUAAAGCGUGCGUAGGCGGCUUUUUAAGUCGGAUGUGAAAUCCCCGAGCUUAACUUGGGAAUUGCAUUCGAUACUGGGAAGCUAGAGUAUGGGAGAGGAUGGUAGAAUUCCAGGUGUAGCGGUGAAAUGCGUAGAGAUCUGGAGGAAUACCGAUGGCGAAGGCAGCCAUCUGGCCUAAUACUGACGCUGAGGUACGAAAGCAUGGGGAGCAAACAGGAUUAGAUACCCUGGUAGUCCAUGCCGUAAACGAUGUCUACUAGCCGUUGGGGCCUUUGAGGCUUUAGUGGCGCAGCUAACGCGAUAAGUAGACC
rnacentral:rRNA from 1 species